rnacentral:rRNA from 1 species
GGGUUGUGAGGUUAAGCGACUAAGCGUACACGGUGGAUGCCCUGGCAGUCAGAGGCGAUGAAGGACGUGCUAAUCUGCGAUAAGCGCCGGUAAGGUGAUAUGAACCGUUAUAACCGGCGAUUUCCGAAUGGGGAAACCCAGUGUGACUCGUCACACUAUCAUUAACUGAAUCCAUAGGUUAAUGAGGCGAACCGGGGGAACUGAAACAUCUAAGUACCCCGAGGAAAAGAAAUCAACCGAGAUUCCCCCAGUAGCGGCGAGCGAACGGGGAGGAGCCCAGAGCCUGAAUCAGCAUGUGUGUUAGUGGAAGCGUCUGGAAAGGCGCGCGAUACAGGGUGACAGCCCCGUACACAAAAGCGCAUAUGCUGUGAGCUCGAUGAGUAGGGCGGGACACGUGGUAUCCUGUCUGAAUAUGGGGGGACCAUCCUCCAAGGCUAAAUACUCCUGACUGACCGAUAGUGAACCAGUACCGUGAGGGAAAGGCGAAAAGAACCCCGGCGAGGGGAGUGAAAAAGAACCUGAAACCGUGUACGUACAAGCAGUGGGAGCCCCACCACUAAGCCAGUGGUGAACUCCACAUACGCAUCCUUUGCUGAGGAUACGGUUAACGGAGCGAAAGCGACGUUCAACCGCAAAAGAAGCAGAGGGGGCUUAGU